rnacentral:lncRNA from 1 species
GGCGGGGGCGGGGCGUGAGUCGCGGUGGACUGGUUAGGAACUGCGUAUUUGGCGUCUCUUCUAUGAAGGCAUUUUAGAUUUUCCUGAGUGUGCACGAGAAGAACGAAGUCCUCGAGAUGCUUUAUUUAAGGGAAAAUAGGAUGAAGGGGAACCGACGCGGCCUGGUGUCUCGGGAAGGGCCGCCCUAGCCGCCGAGGAAAGGCGAGGAGGGGCAGGCUUUCCCAGGCCCCCCGCCUGCUUCCCCAGCCGGCCGGUGGAAACCCUUUCCUGCUACUGGGCCAAGCGAUUUCCCUGCUCCGUCCGAAGGGUCCAGGAGGAACGGGCGGCUGCCCAGCUCGGGCCUGCCGGGCGGGCUGCGACGAGUUCCGCGGCGGUAGCCUUGGGGACGCGGAGCCGCCUGCUGCUCCAUCCGGCGGGCUCCGACGCUCACCGACUGCGAAACGACGGCGGAGCUCUGCUGGAGUAGGGGACAGGGCCCUUCAGCAGUACCUGCGAAUAUGUAUUAAAUCGUAAUGCUUUUUAAUUGUAGCUCUAGAAUAAUUAAAAUGAGAAGUGAUUGUUAGUUGAUGGAUAGGUAAUAUCUGAUUGCUUAUUAACUAUCCUUAUGUCUUUACUGAAUUAAUUUUAGGGGUUGAAAAAUUAGGAAGAUUAUAGUAACUAGCAUGUAUGGAUAGACUCUUUACAGAGACAAUGCUGAGAUAACAAAUUUAUUUGUCUGAAUUAUCUGUAUUGUUUUAUAACAGUCGUCCUUUCUCGAAAAAUAUUGGUGAGAUUUAUGUUUUUGUCUUUUGUGAUGUAAGAAUUCAUACUUUGAAAAAAAUCUUUAGGCAGCUUAAUAAAUACGUGCAACAAAGAUUGGUUUUUACCUGUUAAUAUUAUAUGCAACUUGGAAAUUGUGGCCUUUAAAAGCCUUGUACAAAAUGAGAAGUUUUGCAGCUGUUACUGAGCUCUGUAUGUUGCUUUUGGCAGGGAUUUAAAUUCCCUCAAGCAUCUCCAAACCCCAUACAAUGCAGUCAACCUGCUAAAGCUCAAAUGAAUUUCCUCUAUAAAGAGUUUGGUGUCAUUGGUCUUGAUACCUGACCUCUGCUGCUGCUGCUGAAUUGUAAAAUAGGCAAGUUAUCACUAAACUGCAUAUUUGUUCUCUUUCUACUAGCUUCAUAGAUCUGUUUGAUUAAUAAUACUAGAUAGUAUGUAUGGAAUUGCUUUAAAACUAUAGAAAAACCACAGAAGUUUUUAUAUUCAUAGUUAGAACUAAUGAUUGGCAUUCUUGCCAGUAAACAGUCCUGAGGGAAUUGGAGACUAUUUUGGUGUCUAGUAAGAGGAUUAAAGAGGCAAUGCUUCUCUCUAUGGAAAAGAACUGUGGAGUUUAUAAACUGCUGUGGAUUAUGCCUUCAAAUUGUAUAAUAUCAUUUAAAGGGUGAAAGUUAAAAAAGGAUACUAAUCUAUACAGUUUUAAUUUUGAAAAUGCUUGCUUUGCACCUAGUAUUUACUUAAAAAGCUCUGAUGCUCUUUUCAGUUAAUUUUUCUGGAUGUUUGUCAAGAUAGUAAGGGGGGGAGGUGCCUUAAAAGCAUGUGAGAUAAACUCAUUGUUCUAAUGUACCAUAGUAGGGAUUGAGAAAAGAUCAGUGAGUGAGUUUAAAUGUACAUCCUUCACCUUUCCUAUAAACUAAGGACGCUUUGGACUAAUGGAUCAUAAACAAUUAUUCAGAGUUCUUGACCAUGAUUUUAAAUAACGGCAAAUAAUGUAAUUUCCAGUGUAUUGUAAAUUAUCAUUUUAUACUAUCACUGCUUGACAUGUAUCCAGUAGAAUUAAUUGGAAUCCAGUACUUAAUACGAAUCAUCAUCUGUUUUUUGAGUUGAAAUUUUGUGUUAUACUGGCUGGAGAUAUUUUUGGUAUCAUAAAUGGGGAGCAGGGUUUCACUGAUGUCUCACAGAAGGAAGCUAGUAAUGCUGCAAAACAUGGUUCACUGCACAAAACAACCCCCCACAACAUGGAAAUAACCACCCCAAAUGUCAUCAUGUGCUGUUGAGAAACCCUGACUUAUGGAAUCCUCUUAUGUACUGUGGUUUUAGGUGCGAAAGUUUUUAUUGGUUGUUAUAAUUAUUACUAUUAGUAUACAACUAAUCAAAAUAACAAAUUAUUUCAGUUUUGAAUAAUUAAAUGUUUUUAUUGAAUUAGGAAAAUGCUUCCUUACCUAGUCUAUUGAUUCUAUUUAGUGUAAUUACUGUUAUGUCCUGGGACAUUGUACACAUCCUGAUCCUUUUGUAAAGACCAUAAGAGUAAGUCCCUGUGGCUGAAGUACCCAAAACACUACCUGAUAUAGAUGGUGGUUCCAUUUGUGGUUGUAUCUAAUGGAUGGAUGGAUAAAAAACUGAAGGAAUAAACACUUUCAUACUAAAUACUGUUGUAAUGAUCCAGACUAGCAAAGAUGAGUGCGAGCAGUGAUACUGGUAAGAACUGGCACACUCUAGGUAUAUUCUAGAGAUAGAGCCAAGAAAGUAUACUCAAGGUUUGAAUGUAAAAGGGAAGCAUCAGGUAUCAAUGCAUGUUUUUAUCUUUAACUACUGUUAAGAAUUACCAUUUGUGUAAGUCUGUUGGGGCUACUAUAACAAAAAUAUAGACUGGGUGGUUUUAAAUUCAAAUUUAUUUCUCAUGGUUCUGAAGCCUAGGAAUUUCAUGAUCAGGGUGUUGCAAAUUUGGUGUCUGAUGAGACCACUCUUCCUAUUUCAUACAGGCACAUCUUUUGCUUUCUUCACAGGCAGAGGGGUAAAGGAUCUCUGAGAUCUUUUAUAAGGACACUAAUCACCUCCCAAACAUUUCCACCUCCAGAUGCCGUCACAUUGGGGGGUUCAACAUGUGAAAUGUGGGUAACAUGAAACACUCAGACCAUAACAUCAGUUAUUGAGAUGGGAGAAACAGAAUAAGCUGAGGAAGAUGCAAGGAUAGCUUUCCUUUUUCUUCAUUUGUGUUUCUAAACUUAAUUUAGCUGUUGAAACCUGUCAUUAUUGAUUAAAAUAUAAUUUACUUUCAGUCUAAUUAAAAGAUCUACACAGUUAUUUUCCCACAUACACUUUUUGAAUUUUAAAUCAACAGCUCUGUACAAAGUUAUUUUCUGGUAUCAAACAGUUGGCUCCAUUGGUUGUAAAAAUAGAAUUAUCAAGCUCACAUGUACCAAAUCCAUGAGUUUUCUUAAAAUAAUUGAGUCAUACAGUUUUCUGAUCUGCUUAGAAUAAUGGAAAUUCAAAUACAACCACAACAUCAUAAUUUAUGAUUUAUGUUAAUUAAAAUUAGCAUGCAGUGUUACUUGGAGUUUUCUACAUUGGCUGAGUUAACCCAGAAAGGCACAAGUUUCUUUUCCUUGGCGAAUUUUUGAGACAUUUUUUCCCCAGUUUGGUUCAGCAGAAGAAAAUUAAUAUAUAUACAAUUGACAUUUCAGUGAGAGGUCACAUGUUCCCACUUGUUAAAAUCUUUGAGUCAUUAACUCAAAAUAUGUAUACUUGUAUAAAUUAACAUUAUUAGUAUCUAUUUUAUGGGUUGGCAUACAUACUGAAAAUGCCCAGUUAUUCAAAUUCAACCAAGUCCAGGAUUCUGAGAGUGUAGGUUCUCAU